AAAAGAAUAAAUGGGUGCCUGUCUGUGGGUAACAGACUGAAUUGCGGGUUGACCGCAGGGCUGAGAUUAUACCAUAAAACUUGAUCUGGGUAAUACCAGCGGAAGGAAGAAUAGGAAAUGAUCA
rnacentral:ncRNA from 1 species